rnacentral:rRNA from 1 species
AACGCGAAGAACCUUACCCAGGCUUGACAUACAGAGGACGAUAUUAGAAAUAGUAUUUCCCGCAAGGGUCUCUGUACAGGUGCUGCAUGGCUGUCGUCAGCUCGUGCCGUGAGGUGUUGGGUUAAGUCCCGCAACGAGCGCAACCCUUGUCAUUAGUUGCCAACACGUAAAGGUGGGAACUCUAAUGAGACUGCCUGGGUUAACCAGGAGGAAGGUGAGGAUGACGUCAAGUCAGCAUGGCCCUUAUGUCUGGGGCUACACACGUUCUACAAUGGGUGCAACAGAGGGUAGCAGAACCGUGAGGCGAAGCAAAUCCCUAAAUGCACCCUCAGUUCAGAUUGUAGUCUGCAACUCGACUACAUGAAGUUGGAAUUGCUAGUAAUGGCGUGUCAGCAAUAACGCCGUGAAUACGUUCCCGGGCCUUGUACACACCGGUACUA